ACGGGAGGCAGCAGUGGGGAAUAUUGCACAAUGGGCGAAAGCCUGAUGCAGCGACGCCGCGUGAGGGAUGACGGCCUUCGGGUUGUAAACCUCUUUCAGCAGGGAAGAAGCGCGAGUGACGGUACCUGCAGAAGAAGCACCGGCUAACUACGUGCCAGCAGCCGCGGUAAUACGUAGGGUGCGAGCGUUGUCCGGAAUUAUUGGGCGUAAAGAGCUCGUAGGCGGCCUGUCGCGUCGGAUGUGAAAGCCCGGGGCUUAACCCCGGGUCUGCAUUCGAUACGGGCAGGCUAGAGUGUGGUAGGGGAGAUCGGAAUUCCUGGUGUAGCGGUGAAAUGCGCAGAUAUCAGGAGGAACACCGGUGGCGAAGGCGGAUCUCUGGGCCAUUACUGACGCUGAGGAGCGAAAGCGUGGGGAGCGAACAGGAUUAGAUACCCUGGUAGUCCACGCCGUAAACGUUGGGAACUAGGUGUUGGCGACAUUCCACGUCGUCGGUGCCGCAGCUAACGCAUUAAGUUCCCCGCCUGGGGAGUACGGCCGCAAGGCUAAAACUCAAAGGAAUUGACGGGGGCCCGCACAAGCAGCGGAGCAUGUGGCUUAAUUCGACGCAACGCGAAGAACCUUACCAAGGCUUGACAU
rnacentral:rRNA from 1 species